UACGUAGGGUGCGAGCGUUAAUCGGAAUUACUGGGCGUAAAGCGUGCGCAGGCGGUCUGUUAAGACCGAUGUGAAAUCCCCGGGCUUAACCUGGGAACUGCAUUUGUGACUGCAAGGCUGGAGUGCGGCAGAGGGGGAUGGAAUUCCGCGUGUAGCAGUGAAAUGCGUAGAUAUGCGGAGGAACACCGAUGGCGAAGGCAAUCCCCUGGGCCUGCACUGACGCUCAUGCACGAAAGCGUGGGGAGCAAACAGG
rnacentral:rRNA from 1 species